rnacentral:rRNA from 1 species
GUUGAUAGGUCAGGUGUGGAAGUGCAGUAAUGCAUUAAGCUAACUGAUACUAAUUGCCCGUACGGCUUGUCCCUAUAACCUUAGCAGGUU